rnacentral:misc_RNA from 1 species
AAGUCGUAACAUGGUUUCCGUAGGUGAACCUGCGGAAGGAUCAUUAACACGUAUCCAGCGUUAAACAACCCUGUGAACCUUUAUUGCUGCUCUCCUUGUCCAUUGAUAAAGCAAUUCAUGGUAAAUCACGUGAACGGUUUGAUUCAGGGACCUCUUUUGAUAUGCACUUGGAUUCGAUGCGGCGUCGUAAUUUAGACUUGGGUUCUGGAAGGCCAUCAACGAGUAAAAUCGUUGACGGACGAUAAAGGAUGCUGUCUAAAAAGCAGAUCACUGGUCCUCACAGUGGACAAGUCUCUGGGCUUCGGCCCCCCAUAUUAACCCCAAUUUUCCAUCGGAGGAUGCGGAAACGCUCCUCAUAAAAACGAGCAACUGUUAACAAUGGAUAUCUUGGUUCUC